CUAUGCAGGGCAAGAGUGACACGAAUCACCCAUGCAUGGCAAGUGAUGAGUAGAUUUACUAAAAAAAAUGACGCAUGCAUCUCAGCGUUUUUUGCACGGAUCAUCCGAUCCCCUUUUGCUAUCUCUCCUGUGACGCUACUGCCACCACCUCUGCUCCCCAAUUCCGCCUGCCGAAGCCAUCAAGGGUGAGGAAGAUGCUGAGUAAUCUAGGUAAGGAAGAUGGUGAGAAUACCCUGUACGGGAGACAGAGAUGGUGGACGGAGGGACCGUCGUGAGAGCGGCUAGGCGUGAGGUUCCUGGGACGUAUGCCCUGUUCUCGUUUCUUUCUCUGCGCCCGGAGCCGUCGUGGGCAGAACACCGGAUCCGGACUCUCCGUGUUCGGUCAGCGCUCCAUUUUGCGGGUGCUGGCGCCAACCUUUGUCAGCGAGGCUCCUUGCCAGCCAGGAGGCAAGGUUCGGGUCAGAGCAGUUGUGUGCGCCCUCGUGCGUUGUAGAGGAGCUAGCAGGCUUGGAGGCGCUCUGUCGGUGAAGAAGAAGCGUGGAUCUGCAACUGCCGGAGGAUGAGGAAGAGCGAGCAUGGAUUGAACCAUCAGCGAUUGUUACAGAGGGCGGCGGUGUGUUGCGGCACCAGUGGAAGUAUGCAUCAGGGAAAGAGAAGCGAGGGACUGCGGUCGCUCGAGGUUGAGCAAGAAUAAAUAUUGAUCCAGCCGUCAGUCACCAGUAUGCCCCCUUUCUCUGUAGCGUCCCAAGAGCUUUGCUUCUGUGUGUUGCAGCGGUUGCCUAAGUUUGAAUAAAAGCUAUCGUGCUGAACAGAUUGAAAUAGGAAUUCUAGAGGAAAACCCAUAAUACCUCCACACAUGCCGGCAAUUUGUUCAUUCUGGUAAAAAUACUCACGGGUAUCGUAAUUAGUAACUGAAACCCAAAUAGAUUGAAGCAGGAAAAAUAACCCGAAAGAUUUAGAUCUGCCAGUAUAUUACUUUUAAAACCUGGGUAUCUUGCUCUCAUUGUAUUUAGAGUACUGCAGCCUGCAGUUUUGUAGCUCACAAUCUGUAAGCUUAUACAUGGCUAGGCAACCGUACGCGCUCCAGGUAAUGUAGAGUUUAUGAUAGUGAAAAGCAAUUUUAUUUAGUUGAGCCCUAUCAUGAGUGUGGUGCCAUACAUACUCUUGCUAACAAUGGAAAGUAGCGUUAAAAUAGGAAAUAUAAAAGCUAACUUAUUACACAUUGGUUCACUGCAGAUGCAUAUGACAGUACACUGCAGUGAGUAGACGUACAUAGAAGGUAGUUUUCAGGUCGGUGCCUAGAGUACAGAACAAUGAACACUGACAAAGUGCCCCCUACAUGUGAACUAAGUACAUUAAGCGGCUUCAGUUUUGAAGCUGGCGUGUUUAGCUUGUCAACGUAGAAACUAUCCCCAUGAGUUGUUGAUUAUUUGAACCAAAAGCCUGAACAUGAUGCUGCUCCUGCAAUUAGAACCAUAUGGUCCAAGUUCAGCAUGUACAUUCUUCCAAAAAAAAACAGUUAAGUAAAAUGGAAUAUGAGAACUGACCAUAUCAAUAUUUAAACUAUAGAGGUCAUUAAAAUUGAUGUGUAUUGCCUACAACAUGUCCGCCAAACCGUCCAGUGCAUCAACAAUUUGAAGAUUAUCUGACAUAUAUUUCAGAAAAAAUCUGAUGUGUAUAGCUUUAUCACAAUGUGUGAAUGAGAAAAAAAUCUUAAAAGCCAUGAGAUGGUAUAGAGCAAUAACACUGGAAAAUAGGUUGGAAGAGAACUAUGGAAAGCCAUAAGACAGAUAGAAAAUUAAUUAAAAGGAGCUGUGGGUUCGAUCCCCUUAAAUCUUUGUUUUUCAAGAAGUUCUUCUUUAACUUCGACUUUCUAAUCAUCCAUGUUAACAAAGAGAUCUUGCAUCCAAGAUUUUACCUCACUCUCUGGAGCCUUGCUGUCAUGGCUAAUUAUUUUGCAAAUGGAAAAGCACAUACCAUGGCGUUUCCAAAAUAGUUUCAUGGGGUAUGUAUAAAAUUCUAACUCGAAACUUUUGAAGAAAAUAAAAUUUUAAAAGGGUUUAACCAUUACAUACCUCAAUAUCUGAUAACUAUUUAGGAAAGUAGUAAUUUAAAAGCGGGUAAUCAGUAUGUACCGACCUAUUGACAGUGUUUAGAGUUCUUCAACAGCAAAUCUGGGUGAUUAGAGCAUAUCACUGUUUUGCACACUGCAUGCAAUAGAUUUAUGCGUUUAGAAUUCUUCAAAUGCAGCUGACUGAUGAGACGAAAUCGUGCCUUGCCUGUUGUGUGAAAAAAAAACUCAAUCAGGAAGCACUUAAUAAACAGAGAGAAACAUUGUGGAGUCACCGAAGACCCAAACUCCACAGUUCCCAAUAACUCAAUGGUCUCUAAGAACUGCCCAACAAACUCCAUUAUCUCCACAACUAUUCAACCAUGCUAUCAUGGCAGUGCGAGAAACAUCUAUUAAGAAUUUGAUAUUGCAAAUCACGGCAAUUUCUAAUGACGGAUAAACAAUGAUAUUGGGUUGAAAGAUGAGCCAAGAAGUCAACUUAACAAAUUUCCAUGCAAGUGCAAUCAUGGAUAAUUAGUUUGCCUACGGAAAAGCACAUACCACGGUGUUUUGAAAACAGUUUCAUGGGGUAUCUAUAAAGUCUGUUGAAGACAAUAACAAUUUAAAAGGGUUUAGCCAUAACACACCGACCUACCCAAAGUGUUCAGAAUUCUCCGAUAGCAUAUCUAGGUGAUUAAAGCUUAUCAUUGGCUUGCACACUGUUUGUGGCAGAACUGAACAUUUAGAAUUUGUGAAUUGCAGCUUAAGAGCGAUAAGAACAUAUGUUGCCUUGCAUACUGCAUGUAACAGAACAUAUAUCGUCAGUAGAAUUCUGCAAUAGCAUCUCUGGGUGAUUAGAGCAUAUAAUUGUCUUGCACAAAGCUUGCAGUAGAAUUGAGCAUUUACAAUUUUUCAAUUGCAACUUAGAUUGAUAAGAACAUAUGUUUACUUGCAUACUGCAUGCAACAGAACAUAUAUUCUCAGUCAUGAAGCAAUGAAAAAACAGAGAGAAACAUGAAGCUUACAAUAAUCUACACACCUAGGGCAGAUGCCACCAAAUAUCAUGAUGCUGAACUUAUCUGGUUAUUUGCAUUACUCGAUACAACAGCAUGCUUGCUCAUCAGCUUGCCUGUACAUCCCUGUAGCUUCUAAUGUCCCAUCCUGAUAUGCGUCUCAAGUUCUC